rnacentral:rRNA from 1 species
CCUACGGGAGGCAGCAGUGGGGAAUCUUGCGCAAUGGGCGAAAGCCUGACGCAGCGAUGCCGCGUGGGGGAUGAAGGCUCUCGGGUCGUAAACCCCUUUCAGCAGGGACGAAAAUGACGGUACCUGCAGAAGAAGCCCCGGCCAACUACGUGCCAGCAGCCGCGGUAACACGUAGGGGGCAAGCGUUGUCCGGAUUUAUUGGGCGUAAAGAGCUCGUAGGCUGUUCAGUAAGUCAGGUGUGAAAACCCAAGGCUCAACCUUGGGACGCCACUUGAUACUGCUGUGACUAGAGUCCGGUAGAGGAGAUUGGAAUUCCUGGUGUAGCGGUGAAAUGCGCAGAUAUCAGGAGGAACACCAACGGCGAAGGCAGAUCUCUGGGCCGGUACUGACGCUGAGGAGCGAAAGCAUGGGGAGCGAACAGGAUUAGAUACCCUAGUAGUC